ensembl:lncRNA
CUGAACAUAAUGAAUGUUAUCAUAUUUACCUAAAUUAAAAUGUUUGAUUUUGUGUAUGAUGAGUUAUUUUGUUUUAUUCCUGUAGAUCAUGUAUCUUGGUGUUGCCAAUAAAAACAAGGCCUCCACAACCCUUGCCUUCUUCAAUGAAGCUGUUGAGAGAUGUGGCUUACCAGAAAGGUGAUACUUAUAGUUAAAUUUAUAUUUUACUCUUAACUAUACAACUAAUUGUACUUUGUAUGAAUGGCAUAUUAUCUUGUCUUAUUAAAGAAUAUUAAAGUUGUCAAUUAUAUGAAUUGUAAAAAAUUAUGCAGUUUUAAAUUCUGCCAUAUUUACUUCAAGGGUUCGUGGUGACCACGGGGUGGAAAAUGUUGAUGUCGCUCGCCUUAUGUUUUCCAUCCGAGGAUCCGGGAGAAACAGCUUAAUUGCAGGCAAAAGUGUACAUAAUCAGAGGUAUCCAUUAUCAUGAGUACAGUAUUUAUUUUUAAUAAAUAUUUUAAAUAUAUAUUUAACAGUACUAUUACAUUGCAAACUAUAGUACUUCAUUUAUUGUUAUUUUCUUGUUUUCUUUUAUUGACAUGCUAGUUAUUAUUCAGGUGGAGUAACUUGUUUCUGGACAUAUAAUAAUAUUCUAAAUGCUGAAAUAAAUUUGUGCUUUUAACGGAAUUGAACGGCUCUGGGGAGAUGUGUUCACGGCAGUCACAUGCCGCUUCUCCAGUAGUGUUUAUCUCUUCUGCUGCCAUUAUGUUUUUAUUCCAUGACUGCAAGCCCAGCUUGAUGUAUUCCGAGAUGGCUGGGACAAUCACUCCCUUUCAACUGAGAUAAAUCUCACUCCCAAUCAACUUUGGCACAUGGGUCUACAGCACAACUCCGAAGAGUACAAUGAGGAUUUGCACAUCCCUUUGAUUGACUGGGAAAGUAGUGGUCUUAUACCCUGUGAUCCCAACUGUGGUGUCCAUGUCCCUGAGAGUGACUGUCCUUUGAGUCCUGAUGACCUGGCUGGACUUAGUGUUGCUGUGGACCCAAUGGAACCCUCAACAUGCAUGGGAGUAGAUAAAUAUUUAGCUGCACUGGACUAUAUGCAAAGCAUUGGCUAUGUGUGGGGCCAUCAUGAACUAAUUCUACAUCUAAUCAAAUAAACACAACUGUAUGAUUUUUUCCCCUCACAUUUAUUGUGAACGCAUUUGUACAAUUGUCAAAUACAACUCUUACUGCUUCAAUAAAAGCAAACAUUUCAACA